UACGUAGGGUGCGAGCGUUGUCCGGAAUUACUGGGCGUAAAGAGCUCGUAGGUGGUUUGUCGCGUUGUUCGUGAAAACCGGGGGCUUAACCCUCGGCGUGCGGGCGAUACGGGCAGACUUGAGUACUGCAGGGGAGACUGGAAUUCCUGGUGUAGCGGUGGAAUGCGCAGAUAUCAGGAGGAACACCAGUGGCGAAGGCGGCAUCCUGGACCGAGAUUGACGCUGAGGCGCGAAAGCUAGGGGAGCGAACGGG
rnacentral:rRNA from 1 species